ensembl:rRNA 5S_rRNA 5S ribosomal RNA
GCUUACGAACCACACCGGCCUGAGUACUCCUGAUCUCGUCUGAUCUCGGAAGCUAAGCAGGGUCGGGCCUGGCUUAGUACUUGGAUGGGAGACCUGCCUGGGAAUACCAGGUGCUGUAAGCU